AGCCAGUUGGUGUAGUGGUUUGAGCAUAGGACUGGGACUAGGACUAGGAUCAGGGUUCGAUUCCCUGCUUGGCCA